rnacentral:rRNA from 1 species
UACGAAGGGGGCUAGCGUUGCUCGGAAUGACUGGGCGUAAAGGGCGCGUAGGCGGUUGGGGAAGUCCGUGGUGAAAGUCCGGGGCUCAACCUCGGAUCGGCCGUGGCGACUCGUGGGCUGGAGCACUGUAGAGGCGGGUGGAAUUCCGGGUGUAGCGGUGGAAUGCGUAGAGAUCCGGAAGAACACCAGUGGCGAAGGCGGCCCGCUGGGCAGUGGCUGACGCUGAGGCGCGACAGCGUGGGGAGCAAACAGG